AACGAACGCUGGCGGCAGGCUUAACACAUGCAAGUCGAACGCCCCGCAAGGGGAGUGGCGCACGGGUGAGUAACGCGUGGAUAUCUGCCUUUUGGUUCGGAAUAACCCCGGGAAACUGGGGCUAAUACCGGAUGGUUCCUACGGGAUAAAGAUUUAUCGCCAAAAGAUGAGUCCGCGUACGAUUAGCUAGUUGGUGAGGUAAUGGCUCACCAAGGCGACGAUCGUUAGCUGGUCUGAGAGGACGAUCAGCCACACUGGGACUGAGACACGGCCCAGACUCCUACGGGAGGCAGCAGUGGGGAAUAUCGGACAAUGGGGGCAACCCUGAUCCAGCCAUGCCGCGUGAGUGAUGAAGGCCUUCGGGUUGUAAAGCUCUUUUGGCGGGGACGAUGAUGACGGUACCCGCAGAAUAAGCCCCGGCUAACUUCGUG
rnacentral:rRNA from 1 species